GGUGGUCUGAUGGCUACCGUUUCUGCUUCAUAAGCAGAAGGUCAUGGGUUCAAUCCCAUGACCGUUU
rnacentral:tRNA from 1 species